UAAUUCUCGACAGUUAAGAACAAUAACGGCUUCCAAAAAAUACACUAUUGCGGUUACCCAUUAUUGACAUAUUGCUGCACGUACGCAACGGAUGUGACCAAAAUUAUCCUUACCACAAAAUACUAUAUAUAAUUUCCUACAAAAGGGUCAUUUAUUGCACACUCGCAUUGCUAUCUCCAUUUUAAGCUUCUCUCCCACUUUCUUCAUCAGAAUUGUCUGAGCUUAUGACAAUUAUUUCUGGAAGUGGAAGGUGAGCCAGCCACUCAUCCGAGUCGACGGUGAUUUGAUCGGACCCUUGACCUCGAAGACUUGAUCGAGCAUGCUAUUCGAUGACCUAAAUUCUGUACUUAACACUUCAUCGAACUUGGCACCAUGGUGCUCAACGCUUACCUCCUCAUCGUCCGAGGAUAAAACGAUGCAAAAUUCAGCGACCGAACCCAGUAUCGGCGAAUUCAUAUUGGGGUUGAAUGGUUCGUUGCUGGAGGUGGAUGAAUCCAUUAUCUCAUAUCAAUUAA
rnacentral:lncRNA from 1 species